UUGCGUACGUCGUCGCUGUGAGGCAGACGUGUCAGGGGAAUACUGAAGAAUGUCUUUUUUUGGGGUCUGUUGUGAUUUUACUCCCCACCUUUUCUCCGUAAUCCUCCCUCUAGGUUAUACAUAGCUGACAGCAUGGAGCUCUGAAUAGCCACUAAUAACCAGUGGGACCAGAAUGCAGAGGAAGAGAAAACAUGUGCUUUCCACUGAUCCAGAGUAGCAACAGUCCACAGUUAUGAAUAUCUUGCGCGGACGUGAAUCAGAGUCCCAGACGUUGAGGUUUUCUCUGUUGAAAAUACAUCAUCUUUUUGGUACUGAUUGGAACGCCGACCAUGGAAAAUCCACAAAGUGCUCUCUGAAGUGUACUUCUCUAAGGGACAAAAUGACAUCAGAGGAUGAAGAGGAAGAUUCAGUUCUUCAGCCUAAUGCUUUCACCAUCAUUACUCACAGCCUCUCUCUCUAUCUUACUUUUUCGACACUCUCCUUUAAUGGCGGAAAAAAGUUGCCUCUCUGCUGUUUUUUUUUUCUUUUUUCUUUUCAGAAUGCCUCUCGGGGAGGCCUCCAGGAAAUGACCAUUUAGAGGCAUAACUUUAGCCAUGUUUCAAGAGCCGUGCAGCUGAGGGGAACUAUCUAUAGAUGACUUCAGAGCCAUGAUACACGUCACAUCACCACUGUCCUUCAGCGCUCGUGGCAACAAGGCACCCUUUGUAAUAAACAGGUCUGCAGAAAGGCUUACACUGAGCUGAAUCACGCUGCGGUUGGAUUUACCCUGGACAACAAAGACCAUGCGGGUGGCUUUCUAGACUCUGGUCUCCACGGUUGUUUCACUUUCCCUCUGGCCCACAUUGCUACGGGUGCGUUUGUGCUGAUAACCAUGAAGUGACACCAACAUGAUCUUACAUGCUUUUCAUCACUCAGAUUUUGCUGGGAUGGCCAAGAGUUAUGAAUUAUGUGAUGUCUUGAUUCAAAACACAUAUUUACAUAUUCUACAUAUUGGUUUUAAAUGUAUAUAAUUUUUUAGGAAUAUAGUCAAGCACGCUUUUGCAUUCUACAGAGAUUGCCCUUCAAAAUGAUUCAAUACAAAUAAAAUUAAAUAAUGUGGUUUUGUAAGACAAAAA